UACGGAGGGUGCAAGCGUUGUUCGGAAUUACUGGGCGUAAAGCGCGUGUAGGCGGUCAGGUAAGUCAGAUGUGAAAGCCUUCCGCUUAACGGAAGAAGGGCAUUUGAAACUACCUGGCUGGAGUACGGGAGAGGAGAGUGGAAUUCCCGGUGUAGAGGUGAAAUUCGUAGAUAUCGGGAGGAACACCAGUGGCGAAGGCGGCUCUCUGGCCCGAUACUGACGCUGAGACGCGAAAGCGUGGGGAGCAAACAGG
rnacentral:rRNA from 1 species